rnacentral:rRNA from 1 species
CGGCAACAGCUCAAAUUUGAAAUCUGGUCCUCACGGGCCCGAGUUGUAAUUUGUAGAGGAUGCUUUUGGUGAGGCACCGCCCGAGUUCCCUGGAACGGGACGCCGCAGAGGGUGAGAGCCCCGUCUGGCUGGCUGCCGAGCCUCUGUAAAGCUCCUUCGACGAGUCGAGUAGUUUGGGAAUGCUGCUCAAAAUGGGAGGUAUAUGUCUUCUAAAGCUAAAUAUUGGCCAGAGACCGAUAGCGCACAAGUAGAGUGAUCGAAAGAUGAAAAGCACUUUGAAAAGAGGGUUAAAUAGUACGUGAAAUUGUUGAAAGGGAAGCGCUCAUGACCAGACUUGGGCUUGGCGAAUCAUCCGGCGUUCUCGCCGGUGCACUUUGCCUUGUCCAGGCCAGCAUCAGCUCGUGUCGGGGGAUAAAGACUUCGGGAACGUGGCUCCUCCGGGAGUGUUAUAGCCCGUUGUGUAAUACCCUGAUGUGGGCUGAGGUUCGCGCAUCUGCAAGGAUGCUGGCGUAAUGGUCAUCAGCGACCCGUCUUGAAACACGGACCAAGGAGUCGUCUUCGUAUGCGAGUGUUCGGGUGUCAAACCCCUACGCGUAAUGAAAGUGAACGCAGGUGAGAGCUUCGGCGCAUCAUCGACCGAUCCUGAUGUUCUCGGAUGGAUUUGAGUAAGAGCAUACGGGGCCGGACCCGAAAGAAGGUGAACUAUGCCUGUAUAGGGUGAAGCCAGAGGAAACUCUGGUGGAGGCUCGCAGCGGUUCUGACGUGCAAAUCGAUCGUCAAAUAUGGGCAUGGGGGCGAA